AUAAAACAGUGGAAAUUGCUGGCCGUAUAAUUGUCCUCGUACACUCGCCGACAGAAAGGUUGUCCCAAAGUAACGUGUUACAUCGAGGUUAGAAAUCAAGAGUUUGAAUAAAGAAUAAAGAUGGUAAAAGUGUGUGAGGUAUUUGGGUGUACAACAACCGAAAAAGAAAGACUAUCUAUGCAUAAAUUUCCUAAGAAUGUGGAACAUCGAAAUGCGUGGGUAGCUUGGAUUAACCGUCUCGGGUGGAGUCUGAAAUGUAAUAGCAGAGUUUGUGAGUUGCACUUUGUUCCUGAGAACUAUGUGGAGCACACAAGAGGAAAUGGAAUUCUUCGAAGGCUGAAAACAUCUGCUAUUCCCUCAUUGCAAAUAGAGGAAAUUCAAGACAGUGAAAAUCAUUGUAA